CUCCACGGCAGCAGCGUUGUAGUGAGGACAAAUCCCGCAUUGGAAAUAUUAAUUAAUUACUAGCCGCUUUAAUUAGUAGCCAGAGAGCAAGGGAGCUGGAGAAAUUUUCCCUAUUUUAAUUCACAUUAUUAUUGAUUAUUAAUUUAUUAUUCCUCCUAAUUACCGUUUUCAUUUCUUCUUUAUAGCAAAAGCGCGACAUGUUUGCGAGUUCCGAUGCCGCCGAGCGUCGCCUCCUCUCCUCCUCAAUGGGUUCUUUUCCUUCUCCACUGUGAUCACUGGACGCCUCUCUCUCUCUCUCUCGCCGGCGGUUUCUCGAGUGAUUGGAGUUCAGUACAUCUAUGGGGCAAGAUGUAGCCUUGGAAUGUGAAAACCAUUUGCAAACGGAAUCAAGGCUAAAAAUUGUUGGUCCCUCACGUUGCAGUACAAAAGUAGAGGAAAGAGAUACCAAAGGACAGCCCACGAGCAGAUAUUAUCACUUGAAGAGUCUGGAUGGUGACUUCAAGGAAUCGAGCCUCAGCUGUACUCCAAGCCUCCAUCGCAAAAGCAUGCCUUCCAGGUGUCUUGGAGUAGAUGUGAAUGAUAACGGAGUGCUAAAGAGGGGUUCUGUAUAUCAGAGCUCCAAAGAGGUAACGAGAAUUAGGAAGCUAAGAGAGGGAAGAAGAAAAGUAGAAUUGGCCAAUGAUGAUGAUGAUGCUUUCCUGUCCUUUGAGAUUGUUGAUUCAUUGUCUGAGCCUAUGUCAAAAGAAGCAGUUGUGCCUCUGCAGCAAAACCAAUCACCUCUUGUUCUUUUAAAUGCUGAGCCAGCAUUACCAUGUGUUGACACAAGUCACUCAGUUACAAGUACAUCGAUGGAGUUCCUAGAUCUUUCCUUCCGUGAUCUUCCUGAAGAGCCCUUGAAUCCUCAAACUUCAUGCUCAAGUUUUGUUGCAGAAGAAAAUAGUUCAGCAGAUAAUCUCUUGGAGAUCUGUCUGCACACUGAUGAUGCCAAUCAUCUUUAUACUGAUGCAGCUCCUAAGCUGUUGCAAACAGGUUCAUCUGGAGAACUAAGAUCUAAAUGUAAUCGGAUGCUUGGUCCGGAAAAUAAUGGAAACAUCAUUAAUGAGAAAGAGAUGAUUAAAUCCCUCCCAAAGUCCUUAUCAGCAAAGGCGGGAAAUUUUAGCUCAUCUUGUCAGUCUGUUAAUGCCAGCCCAAAAAAUCGGUUUAGCCCAUUCAAGCGAAUGUUGGAUCCGAUCAUGAAAUCCAAGUCUAUGCGAAACCCAUCAGUCAUGGAAACAGAAAAUGCUGAAGGCACAGCUAACAAUCUUGCAGGAAUCACGAGGAAUGGAUUAUCUCGCAAAUCGUUGUUGAAUGAUUUCUCAAAGGUGAAUCAAAAAAUAGAGUAUGAUGGGCAGUUGAGUGGUAAAGACCAAGUUCUGACCACUGUUUCUUCACCUGCUCACCUACAUGGCAUUCUUAAAUUGGAGACUAAGAAUGGCACACCAUCAUUUGAGUUCUCUAUAAAAGAUCCAGAAAAUGUUCUUUCUGCAAAGACAUGGAGAACAGAUAAUGCAUUUAACUGGGUCUACACCUUCCAUAGUUGUAAAAGAAAGAUCAAUAAUACUGGGAAGGGUACUAAAGACAGGCACGGACAGUCAUCUCCAGUGAUUGGACAGAUGCAGGUCUCUUGUUAUCUGUGCUCGGAAGUGAGAGAAAAUGGAUUGUUGAAUAACUCUGCUGUAACACAAUUCAUUCUAUAUGAUGUUGCCCAGGCAAGAAGGAGCUUUUCUGUUGAAGAAAGAUCUCAGUGCUCUUCAGAUUCCAUUCGACCUCGCACAAACAUUAUUUCUGAAAGCUCAAUAGCAGAUGGCCCUCUAGAGAGAAGUAAUUCAUUGGAGCGCCAACUUCAUGUAAGACAUGCUUUUAGUAGUUGUGACUCAGAUGCCUCGACUUCUUACCCUUGGUCACCAGCAGAUCUGCUUCCACACCUGGAAAUUGCUGCUAUUGUAAUUCAAAUUCCUUUUAAUAAGAAGGAGACCUCAAAAGAUAUGAAAACAGAGGAGGUCGGUUCCCAUGAAAAUUCUAAUUUAUCAAGUGUUACUAGAGUUGAUCAAGAUAGGGAGACAAUGGCCGGUAGCCUGGAUCCUGGAAUUAUGAAGGUGGUUAUCCCAAGUGGGACACAUGGGUUGCCAAGUACUGAUGAAGGUGGUCCAUCAUCAUUAUUAGAUAGAUGGAGAUUUGGUGGAGGCUGUGAUUGUGGUGGCUGGGACAUGGCCUGCCCAAUUGCUGUUUUUGGUAAUACCAGUGCUGAUGAUUGGGCAGAUUAUUCAACAAUGGAAAGUCAAAAGCCCAUGGUUCUAUUUGCCGAGGGAAGCAAAGAAAAGUUACCUGCAUUAUCUAUGAUGGCUGAUGGGAAAGGACAGUAUUCAGUUGAUUUUCAUGCACGGUUAUCUACAUUACAGGCAUUCUCUGUCUGCAUUGCCUUAUUACAUGUUUCAGAAGCCUCUUUAGCUGUUGGUCACGAGAAGAGCAAGCAGAGGCUAUAUUCUGAUUCACUGAAGUUACUACUUGAGGAAGAAAUGAGACACUUAAUCGAAGCCGUUGCAGUAGAAGAGAAAAGGAAAGCAAAGAAGAAAGUAGAACAAAUCCCUCCAUCUUUCUUCCUUGACCCACCUUUUUCUCCAAUGGGCCGAGUCUAGAUUGAGAACGUCAUAUGGCAUUUGAACUAGAUGCCUUGAAGGUCCAAUCAAGCACUGCUUGUUUUCUCAAAAGUCAAGCACUGCAUUGUUCAUUACAAUUUCAACUUGCUAGAAAGUGCUACCAAUUCAGGCUUGGGGAAUCCUUGGGUCAGUUACUGGACUUAAGGUGACUUGAGUGAAGCAAUGGCAAUGUUGGUUGGAAAUAAUAGUUUGUGCAUUGCCAAAUUUUAAAGGAGGAUAAACUCUUUGUACACACCAAGGAAGGAGGGUCGAUCAUUCAUCUCAGGUCAAGAGCUCUUCUAGAAGCCAGUCUCUACACCUUUUUAAGGAUGUAUUUCACCACCAUCUGUGGAAAGGCCUGCAAUGGAGUCUGCUAAGAACCUUUUGGUGCAGAAUAUGUAGUUGUUAAAGCCUGUAAGCGCCAUAACUUAGGUAUCAUGUUUUGUGGUCACAAGGAUU